AACCAUUCUCACCUGCGGCUAGACCUGCGGAGGGAUCAUUACAGAGAUUGAUGCACCAAGUGCAUCACCUCCAACCCCUUGCGAAAACAACUAUCAUGUGUUGCUUUGGCAGUGUUUCCUCUGCCAGAGGUUUACAUAAAAUCAGCUGUUUGGAUGUUGUCUGAGUAAACUAUAUGAAUUAUUUAAAACUUUCAACAACGGAUCU
rnacentral:misc_RNA from 1 species